rnacentral:lncRNA from 1 species
GCAAGCACAACCACAAUGUCUAGAACUCUGGGAAUCAGUCAAGACCAAACCCAAGAGUCCAUGGGAACGCAAAAAGGAGCUGAGUUAAAUAGUAAAGGCUUGGAGAAUCGGUAGUGGCUGUAAAAAUAAUAGAAGACAAAAGUGGAGGGAGUAAGUAUUAUUGUGUCCUGCUUGAAGCCUUCCCAGAUAAGACAACGAUACAGGAUGCAAGUAGGAAAGGAAGAAGUCAAAUUACCCCUGUUUACAAAUAAUAGAAUCCUGUCCUUAAAAACCGUGAAGACUACACCAGACAGCUGAAUCCGGAUGAGCACUGAACAAAGCAGCCAGGUACAGAAUUAACAAAAUCAGUGGCCUUGGGUACAGCAAAGCAGCUAGGUACAAAAUUAACAAAAUCAGUGGCCUUGGGCGCUUGCUUUAUUAUUUUAUGACAUUCUUAUCCUGCUUUAAAGUGAGAUGGGGUCAUUGGGACCCAUAAAUGCCAGAGGUGCCAAGGUGACUGAAGGGAUUAGAGGAAAGGGUGGGGCAUAUGUAAAAUAUAUAAAGAACUGAAAAUAUUCAACACUCCAAACCAAAACCAUCCACCAAUGAAAAGGCUUGUGGAUUGAACAGGCAGCUCACAAAAAGAAGUGUAAAUAGAAACAACAAUGCGUACUUGAAAAGAUGCUCAACGUCCUUCGACAUCAGGCAAACUGACCGGAGAUUCCUGCCUGUCCCAGUCAGCACAGCUGUCACAAGAAAUCAUGGCAGUGCUGCUGAGGAUGGGGGAAAGAUGGCUCCCUACCUCCUGCUGCUGCUGCUGCUGCUGCUGCUGCUGCUGCUGCUGCUGCUGCUGCUGCUGCUGCUGCUGCUGCUGCUGCUGCUGCUGCUGGGGAUGUUAGCACCCAACACAGUGGAGCUUCUCAAGAAACUAAAAUACAAGAACAUUUGACCCAGCUGCACUCCUACAUAGGGAGAGCUGAGGACUCUCCAUGCUUAUCGCUCCACUACUGACAAGGGGUAGGAUGUGCAGCCAGCCUGGAUGUCUGUCCGUAGAUGAGUGGAUAAGGGAAAUGUGGUUUGUAAACACAACGACCGUAAAGAAAAAUAACAUCAUAUUUUCAGGAAAAUGGGCCAAUCUAAAAAUCAUGUUGUAGCAAAAAUUUUGGUUUCUUUAAAAACACAGAAAUAUAAGAAUGUGUUUUCAUUUUAAUCCCAGGUAUGGUACAUGAGGCUAUUUUUGUUCAUCCACAGCAGGUGACUAUGCUCUGCCUCGUGCUCUAGCGGGUGCAUGAUUUUGACAGCUGGAGAUAGUUUCUAUGAAUGUGUGACAUUUGGAGUUCUGGAGACUCUUCAGAAGGUACAUAAAUGCUAGGGCCCCAAGUGUGGAUUUUGGUUCAUGGCUGGAUGCUGUUGGUUGUGGUUUGUUAAGUAGCCAUGUGCAAGGAAGAAAAAUGGAGGAGGAAGAGGAGGGGGAGUUAGAUAUCCUGGUAGUGAAGAGCACACUUACACCAAGGAUCUCGAUGCCCCUAAUCAGGAGGAAGUAGUCUAAUGAUAACAUUUAUGAGCUCCUACAUUCAAUUCCCAAUAACGAACACAUAAGACCAUUUUUUAGUCACAAAGAAAACCUAAGAGUCAAAAGGGUUAAGUCAAACUCUUUUUUUCUGAUCAUAAAAUUUUAAAAUAAAAAGAAAUUCUAGCAUCUGGGAGUUUGAAACUUUUACAAAUUUCCCUUGGGUGAAAGAAAUCACAAGAGAACAAAUGGAGAGCUGUGUGUAUAAUUCUAUCCUAAUAUGCAAAAGAUUAAGCAGGAGGGCUAUAGUGGGUAUGAGGUCAGCAUAGUCCACAGUCUCAAAAGGCCAAAAGAAAAAAAGAAAUCGUGAAAGAAAUGAAAUUAUUUGGGACUUAGAAUUAGUAAUAAUUGAGGUAGAAUCAUCUGAAGUAGAGAUAGUACGUCAUCAGAGGACAUACGAUUUCACAUCUGCGAGCAGAAAGCCAUUAACAAUCCAGUAAACAUUACCCCAAGGUUAACACACACACACACACACACACACACACACACACACACA